CACUCACCUGACUGAACGAGCCCAGGGCAUCUUCAUGACUUCAUGACAUGCAUCCUGACCACAAAAUGUCUGUGACCUUCAGCACAACAGUUUCAUGGACACAGCAUUGUUAUGACUUAUGAGACACAUAUAACUGAACCUGCUGCAAAUGGUGGAAGUAAUCAAGUACUGGAGUACUGUUCUGAGGAUGCACAAGAAGAAAUUCUGCUUUGUGAGGAGAUGGAUGCCAAGAACAUGAAAGUGUCCAUCACACAUCCAAGUUCUCAGAGACAUGGAGUCUGUUUGUCCCAGUGAUGGACGGGUUUGUUUCAUAUAGAGCAGGAAGUGACAUCAGGUGGUUUUUGUUACUUGUGUUCACACAUGCCCAUAAAAAGUCAUACUUACAUGUAAUGUUAAAGUGUAUGAAACUGAACAUUGAAAACCUGAACUUUUUCACAUAAUCUUGAAUAAUUGUUAUAUUAAAUGAAUGGUGUUAAAGUUAGCUGGCAGUGCAGAUACAUACACUGUGUUUAAGUCUCAUCUCCUACAGGUCUAUCGAUGAUGUAGUGGAUACAGCAGUUGUUUUGAGCUGUUUUCUCCACUAGAUGUCACUCUCUACUUUCACUUAAAUGAUCCAAGCGAACUCUGUUUGCUUUUCCUCUAAAUUCAGCAAAUUCAGACCUCCGUCUGUGUGUAUCUGAGCUGUUUGACAUGUUUUUAAAGAUGAUGAUAUCUGUAUUUGCUCAAAACAAAGUGAGGAAAAAGGGAAAUCAGCUCAUCCUGUCCUCAGAGCUGCUUUGAGGAAGGUUUCA